AAUGAACGUUGGCGGCGUGGAUUAGGCAUGCAAGUCGCGCGAUUUCCUUCGGGGAAGAGCGGCGGAAGGGAGAGUAACGCGUAGAUACCUACCCUCGGGACUGGAAUAGCGACGGGAAACUGUCGGUAAUGCCAGAUAACGUCCCUGGACCAAAGGUGUGAAUCCGCCUGAGGAGGGGUCUGCGUCCUAUUAGCUAGUUGGCGGGGUAACGGCCCACCAAGGCGAAGAUGGGUACCGGGCGUGAGAGCGUGACCCGGCUCACUGGGACUGAGACACUGACCAGACACCUACGGGUGGCUGCAGUCGAGAAUCUUCGGCAAUGAGCGCAAGCUUGACCGAGCGACGCCGCGUGCGGGAUGAAGGCUUUCGGGUUGUAAACCGCUGUCAGUGGGGAGGAAAUUCUUGGGGGUACUCCCCCUUGAUUGACCGAUCCGCAGAGGAAGGACGGGCUAAGUUCGUGCCAGCCGCCGCGGUAAGAC
rnacentral:rRNA from 1 species